AUAGUGCCGGAAGACAGAGGGGUUUUCGUCGCCAGGCCAGCAAAGGCGCCAGGUCAGAUGGAUUUGAUACUAAUUUACUUAAAACGCUUGAAUCUGACGCUUAUGAAAAGAGAUACAACACUGGCCUCUGAUGUCUCCUAAGGCUAUCCUGUAACAAAGCCACUCCAGCAGAAGGCAGAAUAGCACAACACACACAGCAGGGAAAAUAUGCAUGUCUCAAAACAGAAUCCUAAUAAAAAAGAUUCACUGAUAAUUGUUUGCUGUAAAAAUGGCAGAAUUCCUAACAAACAUUAUUCCUAAUGAAGUAUUCCACCAGCUCUACAAACAAACAGGACUUUCUUAGUUAUCUGCCAUUAAAGUCUUGUAAACCAUUGUU